rnacentral:rRNA from 1 species
CCUACGGGAGGCAGCAGUGGGGAAUAUUGCACAAUGGGGGGAACCCUGAUGCAGCGACGCCGCGUGAGCGAGGGAGUAUUUCGGUAUGUAAAGCUCUAUCAGCAGGGACGAAAAAAGACGGUACCUGACUAAGAAGCACCGGCUAACUACGUGCCAGCAGCCGCGGUAAUACGUAGGGGGCAAGCGUUAUCCGGAUUUACUGGGUGUAAAGGGAGCGUAGACGGCAAGGCAAGCCAGAAGUGAAAGGGCAGGGCCCAACCCUGGACCUGCUUUGGGAACUGGGGUGCUGGAGUGCAGGAGGGGUAGGUGGAAUUCCUAGUGUAGCGGUGAAAUGCGUAGAUAUUAGGAGGAACACCAGUGGCGAAGGCGGCUUACUGGACUGUAACUGACGUUGAGGCUCGAAAGCGUGGGGAGCAAACAGGAUUAGAUACCCUUGUAGUC